UUCAGGUGUGUGUUAGCACAGAGCCACAAUCGGACAUCCCAGCAAAUUCAUCGUGAGGUCCGAGUGUGGAGAUAAACCCAAGAGCUCUAUACUCUGCUGGCCUCAGUCAGCAGGUUAAAGGUCAAAGUUCAUAAGAGCAGAAUUAGAAACAGACUGAAGUAUGGCUUGUUUGGAAGUCUGCAGGAGAAAGCCUCUUCUCCCUAAAGGAGCAGAACAGCACGGUUUGGGUUUGCAACACUGAAUCAGAACAAAACAAAGACUUCUGGAACCAAAAAGCAAAGUGAGGUGUUUUCCCAUAAUGCACAGCAGCACGUUUGGAGGAAACAAACUGAGUGGAACUCCUCUGUAUUCCAAAGUGCUCUAGAGUCAGCGUGAGGCCGUCUGUCCCACAGCUGAAGCUUGGACCAAACAGGACAGCGAUCCCAGCACAGCAGCAAAGAACGGAGCUGCUGCAGUGGUCCAAGGUCCAGACCUGAGCCUGACUGAGAGGCUGUGCAUGAACCAAUGCUGCGAACCUGAACGAGCUGAAGCAUCGCUGAGAAGAAGAGAGGACCAAAGUUUGUCCACAGAGAUGAGACAGACUCACAGAAACAUCAGUGCAGGAUAAAAGAGCCCAUCCAGGGUCGGCCUUGCAGGUAGAAUGAGAGGCUCAGACAUUCAGGAGCUGAGAGCAGAGUCACCGAUCCAGUACAUCAGGACUUUCAGCAUAACAGCACAUAUAAGGUCCAGACUUCCUGUGCCAUCCCGCUGAUUUUUCUACAGGUACCCAAAGCCUGCCCAGCAUGUGAUUGGUCAGUCGACUGCAAACAGAAACCAAAGAUCAUCUAUUGAUCGUGCAUUUUCAUAUCACUUAUGUCUGUUUGUAGAUGCUGCCCAGGUUCAUAAUGCACUCAUAGAUCCAGAGUUACAUCAGUGUAAACUUGCUGCAGUGGCUGAGACGCCCCGAGAACAUUUCCCUGCUCGGUUCAUCGUUUCAGUUCGACACGGCUGUAAAUCCGCAGAGAGCUCGCCGUCCUCGGCGACUCAGUGAGCAUGCUCGGAACAGGCUGAGGCCUCCGCAGCCCGAGGAUGCUCUCAGGGAGCAGCUGCUUCAAAUGCACACGACAAAGGUUACGUGUUGUUAGCAAACUAAUGCUAAAUGAAUAACCUGUGGCUCAAACAUAAAGACAUAAAUGUGAAAACUUGUCCUCACCUGCAGCAGCGUCUGAAACAAAAUGGCAGCAAGGUUAAACAAAGCAGCAGCGCAGCACCAAGUUUGUCUGUUUAUUCUGCAGCGCCGCCAACUCUGAAGGUUAAUUACAGCUCUGACCUUUCCACCUUCCUCUUCCACUCCUCUAAUUUCUUGCUCUUCUUCCUCCCCCGCUCACUUCACUUCAUCCUGCUGACUCUGAAGCCACGCAGGAAUCAAACCUGGCAGGACGCGGCCCUCCUCCACACGUCCGCUGUCAGAGGCUGCACUUCUUUCUAUCUUCACCUCCUCCUCCUCCUCCUCCAGUCUGGUCAUUAUCAAUCCCUCCAUCACUCUGUCAUUUAUUUGUUUACGUCCCUGCUUUUCUCUCCUGACCAGACUGACUCAUUCUCCCAGAGAGUAAUAAAAUCUGUGUGUGUGUGUGUGUGUGUAGCAUGAAUUAACCACAAUGCUCUUUAUUGCUGCAUCUCAGCGCAGCUCUAAAGUGCUGCAAUUACAGCACUCUCCCAAAGAAAUCUCAGCCUCCUUCGCUCUCACCGUUCUCAGUAACACAAAGUUUUGACAUCAGUGUGUGAAAAGGUUUUUAUUUUUUGGAUAGAAACUAAAGAAACUGAUGAUUCAUACAACAAAGAGGCUUUAUCACCCUGACGCCAAGAUAGAAAUGUUAAAAAAGACUCGGGGAUGUCAGGAGCUGAUGUGUUCACAA